rnacentral:rRNA from 1 species
AUAGCCGACCUGAGAGGGUGAUCGGCCACACUGGGACUGAGACACGGCCCAGACUCCUACGGGAGGCAGCAGUAGGGAAUCUUCCGCAAUGGACGAAAGUCUGACGGAGCAACGCCGCGUGUAUGAAGAAGGUUUUCGGAUCGUAAAGUACUGUUGUUAGAGAAGAACAAGGAUAAGAGUAACUGCUUGUCCCUUGACGGUAUCUAACCAGAAAGCCACGGCUAACUACGUGCCAGCAGCCGCGGUAAUACGUAGGUGGCAAGCGUUGUCCGGAUUUAUUGGGCGUAAAGCGCGCGCAGGCGGUCUUUUAAGUCUGAUGUGAAAGCCCCCGGCUUAACCGGGGAGGGUCAUUGGAAACUGGAAGACUGGAGUGCAGAAGAGGAGAGUGGAAUUCCACGUGUAGCGGUGAAAUGCGUAGAUAUGUGGAGGAACACCAGUGGCGAAGGCGACUCUCUGGUCUGUAACUGACGCUGAGGC